ACACACACACACACACGGGUACACAAGGCCUGAAACACACGCAGGCGCGCUUCUUAAAGGAGAAGGCUUGUAAAGGCUGCCUCUUGGCUACCGUAUGAAGCCCUGGAUUAGGUACCGGGCCUUUGAGCAGGGCUCUAAUUGGUGAUGAACUCUUUUUUCUUUUUACCUGCCCUCACCCAGAAACCUGAUACCUAGGACCCCCGGAAGAAUACAUUCCUACAUCUUCCCCGCCCCCUAACCUCACAUCUAAAAACAGUGCUCCCCUCCCUAACCAGUGCUUGGGUGGGGCUUGCUCUGUGGACCCUGCUGGAAGCUGAGGAGAAGACCAGGCCUGGUCUUGAAGAGUAUUUGGCAUCUUAUUUGGAGAGGUUCAAAGAGAUCCCUGGCUCUGGAAAUCAGAACAACACCCAGGUUCCUGCAUUUGAGUUCUAAAAUUGAAUGCUGUUCUUUGGAAGAUUCAGAAGAGCCAUUAGCAACAGAAGCAACAUCUACCACAUUGUGAGUUCCCAGUGAUCUAGGAAAUAACUAUAAUAACAAGAAAUGGGGCAAGCACAAUUUUGCAUACUGGAAUUGGUUCAUAGUGAAUUGCUGCAUAAUGCAGCAAGGUCAAGAUUGGGUUUUGAUGCAUUAGGACUGUCUUCUUAAUGUCUCUGAUUCUGACUCUGGGAUGAAGCAGGAAAUCAGCUGAAGACGGAUAUUAUUUGUCUUACCUGUGAGAAAGACCUUACAGAUUUAACAAUAAAACUGUUUUUAGUGUAAUUCUAUGAAUUGUGAGAUUUCUCAAAGGUCACUGAAUUUUUCAUGCCUUUAUGGAUGAUAACUGAAACUGCAGUGAUUUCCUGAAAGGAGAAACACACAAAGAGGAAAGAAGAAAGGAAAGAAGAAAGGAGAAAAAGGAAGCAAGAUGUAGAAUACAAGGCAAGCAGAAAAAUUGGAGGAAAUAAUAAAAACAAUUCAUUUCUUUUCAGAUCUUUUCCAAUUAAAUGGUUUUAUAAAAAGGCUUAGAAACUGCUUUUGAUUCUUAACAUGGGCUCCUUAUGUGGGCUGAGAAAAUGACAGACCAUGAGUCUGCUUUUCGCCUUCAUUUAUUUCAUUUCUGUCUCUGACUUCUUCUUGACUCCAUGAUUACCCUUCAAAGAGUAUCUGAUGACUUAUCACAUCUCAUCACCUCUCAAGCCUGAUAUAACAGAGAAAAAUCACAUCCUUCAGCAUUUAGUCACCUUGGGUUCCAGAAGAGUAAAGGUUCACAGGAUUGACCAACCUAAAUGAGAGCAAUUAUAAGUGAAAGCACGGACUCAUCUCAGGGCAUCAGUAAUACAUCUUAUAAGGACCAAUUUGCUACCUUAAGUGAUGGCGGAUUCUCUGGACUAUCUUACACAUUCUCAACUCAGACAACAGACAAUGAUCAGUGACAGCCUCAUGCCUUAACUAUGAUGGUCCAAGUACCUUGACUUCAAAAUUUGGAUCUAAGGAUAUGUUGCUUUGGAAAGGAGGCUCUGCUUUUGUUUCCACAGAAAGCAAGAGGCUAUGGAUUUGUUCCAGAUUAAGAUACAUCAGGUUUAACCAGCCAAGACUACCUGAAAGGUCUCCGAUGACACCAUGGCCCAGAUGAUCCAACAUCCAGAAUGAUUUCAAGACUUUCUGGACAGUGAGACAUGUCUGCUCCUGGCAGCACCAAUUUACUUCAGAGAGGAGGAUGGGCAUUGAAGACACUCCAUAUGUGGUUUAUCUUCACCUUGGCAAAAAUAGCCAUUUGGGCAAGAAACUAUUCUUGCCUGGACUGCUUGAUUGACUGGACAUGCAGGAGCUAUAAGAAGGUGACCACUGAGCUUUGCUUGGCAAAAUGGUCCUUCAGGUUCCUGCUUCGCAGAAGAAACUGCCAGACAUUCUACAGGACACAGAGAGAAGUGACUGAGAGAUUCUAGGCCUGUGGCCUGAAGACAGAUGCCCCACCUUUACAGAAGAACUUUGAAUGACUGUCCAGGCUGCCAGCUGUCUACUCUCGCAAGACUCCUGAAAGUUGCUUGCAUCCUUAUCCUGUUUCUCAGGUAAUAUUAUAUCCUUGUGAGGUAUUUGAUGUAGUUGAAGACUAGAUAGUUAUGAUUUCCUUAGUUAUGAUAAAAGAUAAGUUAGAUAUGAAACCUUAGACUCACAAAUAUAGUAUAGAUAGGAUAUCUUCUUUAAUUUUGCCAAAUACAAAUAGACUAGAUAUUAUAAAUAGAGUAGAUAUUGUAACUGUAAUUAUUGCUUGAUAAUUGUUUUGUUAUAUGUAAUUUUACUAUGUUAAAGUUAAAACCUUCCUUUUUGAAAAAAAAGAAAAGGGGAAGUGCUGUGGAUAACUGUAUGCUGUGAAUGUGUUCUAUGAUUGAUUGAUAAAUAAAAUGCUGAUUGGCCAGUAGCCAGGCAGGAAGUAUAGGCAGGAAAAAGAGAGAAGAGAAUUCUGGAAAGUGGAAAGUUGAGUCAGGAGAUGCUGCCAGUUGCUGCUGCCAUGAGAAGUAAGAUGUGAAAUACUGGUAAACCACAAAACAUGUAGCAACUUAUAGAGUGGCUGUGGACCUGGAUGGGACUGGAGAUAACUCCAGGUACACCUCUCCCCUCCCAGGCCCCAGCUUUCACCCCAAUCCACCUCUCAUUCCCUCCUCCUCCAAGACAGGGUCUCCCAAGGGAAGUCAGCAGAGCCUGGUAUAUUCAAUUGAGGCAGGUCCAAGCUCCUCCUCCCUGCAUCAAGGUUGCUGUAUAAGGUGUCUCACCAUAGGCACAGGGCUCGAAAAAGCCCACUCAUGUACCAGGGACGGACUAGCAGUGUAGCUCCCUAAACAGUACAAGUUAAACAACUGUCUUGCUUAUCCAGAAGGCCUAGUCCAGAACCAUGGGCUAUUGGUCCACAGUUCAUGUGUUUCAACUAGUUUGUCUGGCUGUCUCUGUACAUUUUCCCAUCAUGAUCUUGAUGUCCCUUGCACAAAGAAUUCCUCCACUUUCUCAUCGAUUGGAUUCCUGGAGCUCAGCCUGGCCCAUGAGUGUGGAUCUCUGCAUCUGCUUCCAUCAGUUACUGGAUGAUGGCUCUAUGAUGAUAGUUAGGUUAUUCACUAAUCUGAUGACUGGAGUAUGCCAGUUCAGGCACCCUCUUGACUAUUGCUAGUAGUCUAAGGUGGGAUCAUCUUUGUGGAUUCCUGGGAACUUUCCUAGCACCAGGUUUCUCCCUAUCCCCAUGAUGUUUUCAUUUAUCAUGAUGUCUCUUUCCUUGUUCUCCCACACUGUCCCUGUUCCACCUCGAACCUCCUAUUCCCUUAUGUGCUCAUUCCCUAUCCCUUGUCCUCCAUUACCUACCUUCACUCCCAGUUUGCUCAUGUGGAGCUCAUCUCUUUCUCCUUCACUGGGCAAUCUAUGCAUCCUUCUUAGGGUCCUCCUUGUUAGCUAGCUUCUCUGGAGCUGUGGGUUGUAGACUAGAUAUCCUUUGCUUUACAUCUAGUAUCAACUUAUGAAUAGGUACAUAUCAUGUUUGUCCUUCUGAGUCUGGGUUACCUCACUCAGGAUGAUAUUUUCUAGUUCCAUCCAUUUGCCUGCAAAUUUCAUGAUAUCAUUGUUUUACUGCUGAGUAGUACUCUACUGAGUAUAUGUGCCACAUUUUUUUCUUCGGUGAGGGCCAUCUAGGUUGUUUCCAGGUUUUGGCUAUUACAAAUAAUGCUGCUAUGAACAUAGUUGAGCACGUCUUUGUGGUAUAAUUGAACAUUCCUUGGGUAUAUGCCAAAGAGUGGUAUUGCUGAGUCUUGAGGAAGAUUGAUUCCCAAUUUUCUGAGAAACCGCCUUACUGAUUUCCAGAGUGACUAUACAAGUUUGCAUUUUCCACAAACAGUGGAGGAGUGUUCCCCUUGCUCUGCAUCCUCUCCAACAUAAGCUGUUAUCAAUGUUUUG